rnacentral:lncRNA from 1 species
AGGAAGUGGAGAGGACCCCUGAAAUGGGAGAUGUCUCCUCAACAAAUAUCGUAUUCAUCACCUUGCUAGGUCAAAACCCGGUCAUAAGACGAUGACGACACGGGACUGCUCCGGCUGGCGCCUGGCCUGCGUUCAUGGAAUACGCGUUUAGGAAAAUCUGGGAAAUACUGGAGAUCAAAGCUACCUUCUAAAAAACAGCACUGGGAGGAUGCCUGAAGAUCGGAGAAAAAGGCUGAUUGAGGUUGAAGUAUGUCUCAGCAGUAGACUCGGCUUGAUUGGCAUCUAGGACGCCCUCAGUUGUGUCCCGCACACCAUAGGAAAAAUAGAAGUGACACCCAGAUGCUGCUGCGUCCCUCUGGGCUACUACACUGUGACAGCCAUUCAACAAGCCUCUUCUGCCUGUCCUUCUCUCCUGAAUCCAGCCACUCCAGCCCCGGGGAGCAUUUUCAAAUCCUCCCAGGUCUCUGUGAAAGAUUCAACUUUACGAGACCGUGACUGAACUGGGCAGGAAGGAAGCUGGUGUCUCUGUCCCAGAAUAGGACCGUAUUGCUGGUGACCCUUUGACCUCCCCUCAAGGCAUCCCCAUGGCUGACCACCGAAAAUAGACUCCUUCCUCUCUGAUUCGCUCUCCCCUCCUCCCUCGGGAAAGAAGACACAAGCGUCCAAGGAGCCAGCAACAUCAUCAGGACUUGACUGUCUCAGGAAUUACCAGAUGUGGGGGAAAGGAUAACAUGUCAUUUCCUUUAGCAAAUAGUCUGAGUAUGUGUGCUUUUCCUCUUGAUCCGGCUCCCUCCGACGCUCUGAUGCAGUGAGAGUUAGGGACAAA